UUCAAUUUUCUUAGCUUAAUUCCAUAAUCAUUCGUUAUUUGUCAUCGAUCCACCAUUUAGGUGGAUCGUUGGUGGAUCAUUUAUCUAACUUCCAGACGUAACUAGCUUUCGUCAUGAAUGUCGGCGAAAAUUCGUAAAUGUUAACUUCAUUGAGUAACAUUGUUUAAAUUUACAUUUAAUGAAACCUUACAGAAGCACGUUUGAUACCUUCUCAAAAGGGAAAAUCGCUGUUGAUGUUUCAAAACUACACAUUCAACCUGAACAGGAAACAAACCAGGAAUACUCUCUGGUACUGCACCAGCCGUUCAUCCAGGGGCUGUCGUUGCUCCUUGAAGUGUGAUAAAGAGAAUCCGGUCAUCAUUGAGACCAUCGAGGGUGAACACAACCACGACCCACCACAGUACAUCAAAUCCGGGGAAGGGGUGUGGUGUAAACUUUCUAGGGGUUGAAGAUAUGAAUAACUAGAGAUCUAUUGACAGUCUCUUAGCAAUAUUGAUACCUUCAAGACGUGGCGGAAAACUACUAGUGUACAAAAGACACUCGUUUCACUUGAAGAAAAAAAUGCCCAGAUUUAGCCUUAUGCUUUGGUAUUGCACGGCGCGGGAAAUGCACAAAUGCCAAUGUUGCAUUAAAACUGAUAUAAACAAUCCUCUAGUCAUCGUCGAAGUCAUCAACGAUCACUGCCACGACCCUCCUUCAUAUCAUCUAACGAAAAAAGGCGAGUGGAUUAGAGUGUGAAUGUGAAAUUUAGUAUAAAAAUAUGCAUAAGGUAUUAUGCUAGCGUACUUUGUUAUGAAUAAGCUAAAACAUAUAUUUAAAUAUAGCCGUUUUAUAUC